GACGAACGCUGGCGGCGUGCUUAACACAUGCAAGUCGAACGAAGUGGAGAACGGGUGAGUAAUACGUGGGUAACCUGCCCUCCUUUUUGGGAUAAGCCUUGGAAACUGGGUCUAAUACCGAAUAAAGGGGGAUGGGCUCGCGGCCUAUCAGCUUGUUGGUGGGGUGAUGGCCUACCAAGGCGGUGACGGGUAGCCGGCCUGAGAGGGGGACCGGCCACAUUGGGACUGAGAUACGGCCCAGACUCCUACGGGAGGCAGCAGUGGGGGAUAUUGCACAAUGGGCGAAAGCCUGAUGCAGCGACGCCGCGUGGGGGAUGAAGGCUUUCGGGUUGUAAACCUCUUUCGCUAUUGAAUGCGUAGGUGGUGAUGAAGCGCCUCCUAACUAUGUGCCAGCCGCCGCGGUAAUUC
rnacentral:rRNA from 1 species